rnacentral:rRNA from 1 species
GGUUUGAUUAUGGCUCAGAUUGAACGCUGGCGGGAUGCUUUACAUACAGUCGAACGGCAUACGGACUUCGGUCGGUGGCGAGUGGCGAACGGGUGAGUAAUGUAUCGGAACGUGCCCUGGUAGCGGGGAUAACUACGCGAAAGCGUAGCUAAUACCACAUAUACGCCCUUCGGAGAAAGCAGAGACCUUCGGGCCUCUUAAUAGAGCGGCCGAUAUCGGAUUAGCUAGUUGGUGGGAAGUAACGGCUCACCAAGGCGACGAUCCGUAGCUGGUUUGAGAGGACGACCAGCGCACUGGGACAGAGACACGGCCCAGACUCCUACGGAGAGCAGUGAAAAUUUUGGACAAUGGGGAAAUCCUGAUCCAGCCAUCAUGAUGACGCGAUGAAGGCCUUCGGGUUGUAAAGCACUUUUUAACAGAAAAAACGUGGCAGGAUAUGCCCCAGUGCAACUGACGGUACCUGCAGAAUAACCAGCUAACUACGUGCCAGCAGCCGCGGUAAUACGUGAGUUGCAAGCGUUAAUCGGAAUUACUGGGCGUAAAGCGUGCGCAGGCGGUUGGAAAGAAAGAUGUGAAAUCCCAGAGCUUAACUUUGGAACACAUUUUCAACUUACCCAAAAGAGCUAAGUGUCGGAGGAAGUGGAAUUCGUCUUAGCAGUGAAAUGCGUAGAUAUGCCGGGGAGGAACACCGAUAUGCGAAGAGCAGCCUCCACCAGGUAACACUGACAGCUCAUGCACGAAAGCGAUGGAGGCAAACAGGUUGAAUGCCCUCGGUAGUCCACGCCUAAACGAUCUCAACUAGCUGUUGGGGCCUUCGGGCCUUGGUAGCGCAGCUAACGCGUAGAAGUUGACCGCCUGGGGAGUACGGUCGCAGAUUAAACUCAGGAGUCGGCGGGGACCCGCACAAGCGGUGGAUGAUGUGGAUUAAUUCGAUGCCCAGCGCGAAAAACCUUACCUACCCUUGACAUGUCUGGAAUCCCGAAGAGAUUUGGGAGUGCUCGCAAGAGAACGGAGACACAGGUGCUGUGGCUGUCGUCAGCUCGUGUCGUGAGAUGUUGGGUUAAGUCCGCAACAGCGCAGCCCUUGUCAUUAGUUGCUACGAAAGGGCACUCUAAUGAGACUGCCGGUGACAAACCGGAGGAAGGUGGGGAUGACGUCAAGUCCUCAUGGCCCUUAUGGGUAGGGCUUCACACGUCAUACAAUGGUCCGGGACAGAGGGUCGCCAACCCGCGAGGGGGGAGCCAAUCCCAGAAACCCGAUCGUAGUCCGGAUCGCAGUCUGCAACUCGACUGCGUGAAGUCAGAAUCGCUAGUAAUCGCGGAUCAGCAUGUCGCGGUGAAUACGUUCCCAGGUCUUGUACACACCGCCCGUCACACCAUGGGAGUGGGUUUUGCAGAAGUAGUUAGCCUAACCGUAAGGAGGGCGAUUACCACGGUAAGUUCAUGACUGGGGUGAGUCGUAACAAGGUAA